rnacentral:tRNA from 1 species
ACCGCGAUAGCCCAGUCGGUAAAAGCAUCUGCCCGGUAUGCGGAGGGUGCCGGUUCGGUCCGGCUCGCGGCG